rnacentral:rRNA from 1 species
UACGUAGGGUGCAAGCGUUGUCCGGAAUUAUUGGGCGUAAAGAGCUCGUAGGCGGCCUGUCGCGUCGGCUGUGAAAACCCGGGGCUCAACCCCGGGCCUGCAGUCGAUACGGGCAGGCUAGAGUCCGGCAGGGGAGACUGGAAUUCCUGGUGUAGCGGUGAAAUGCGCAGAUAUCAGGAGGAACACCCGUAGCGAAGGCGGCACUCUGGGCAUGUCCUGACGCUGAGGAGCGAAAGUGUGGGGAGCGAACAGG